AAUACUCAUGAUUAGGGAGUAAUACCUUUGUAUGGAAUUCGAUUUCACUCUACUAGCAUAUGGAACUUUUAUGAAUUAAAUAGACGAAAAAUAUGCCAUAUAGGUCCAAGAUGAAACAAAUGAAGAGAAUAUUUGUAGGAACAAAAUUCAAAUGGGUAAGGAGAGGGGACGAACGGCUAUAUAAGGAUACGAGGAGACAUCAAGAAGGGGAUCCGAACAUCUACACACCUGAUGGCUAGAAUUAGGAUUUUACUUGCUUUAUAUUCUUGCCGACUUGUACUUUCCUGGCGAGCUCCUUGAGCACCGGUUGUUUCACCGUUCGUUUCCUUACUUGUAACCGACAAACAUGUUUUCGAUCUAAUAAAACACCUUUCGAAAUUAACUCACUGACAAGUUUCGUCUCUCUCACUUGUUUCUGACCAAACUCGGUUCAAACAGCCUGCCACUGAUCCGAGGACACGAAUGGCUCUGAUACCACUGAUAGAGAUAAACGAGUUCACCUCUACGAUAAUUGUUUCACCGUUCAGAAAACAAUGAAACGUAGCUCAAAUAUAAAGAAUCUGUUACUGAAGAAAGAUUCUAAAACAAAUCUCCAAGCAAUUUCAAUGGAAAAAACGUACACAGAAUCUAGAGGAAGAAGAUGAUCUAACACUGUCAAUAUUUUUCUUGAUGAAUGAAGAAGACGAUCGUCUUUUAUCCCCUAACAAACUUCUUCUUCCAAUCGCACAGACACGUGGCUGUUUUACCAAUCAUUAUUUUCAUCCUAUCUGCUACUGCACGUACACUAGACUCUAUUUAUCUGUAACAUCCAUCCACUCAGAUUAGUGUUUCUAAUCCUUUAUAGUCAUGCAAUGGAAAGAGAAAAAUUCCAUAGUUAUAAGUUUGGUGAGAUGAUGAGUUUCAACAUGCAAAAUCUUAUAUUAUAUGUUUGAGAAAGUGGUAACUAUGUUAAGUAAUUUUUAUUUAUCUAAACUUUAUAAUUUUCAUAAAAAGACAAACAUUGAAAUAUAUUAAGAGAUGUAACCAAUUAUCUAUUUUAAAUUAAAUCAUCAAUAUAUGUUAAUAUCAAUAAUUUUCAGUUUUAAAAGUUAAAUUAUUAUAGUAUAAAUAUUUAACUUAGACUUGAUCAAAAUGUCUUUUUACAUAUUGGACAAGUGUAUUUUCAAAAAACAUUAAAUCAAUGUAUUUUUCAAAUCCGAAAACAUAAAUAGAGUUUUUUUUUUUCCAAACAUCCCUUUUUAAAUCUAUUUUUCUAGUAAAUAACUUAAAACUAUGGGAUAUUUUCUGUUUAUUUUGUCUAUAAGAUAAAAAACACAUGGUAAGUAAUUUGAUAAAUAAUAAUAUUAAUAAUAAUAAUAAUACUAUAUAAUUAAAUCAGUCAAUCUAUAUUAAAAUAAAAUCUUAAAUAAUAAAAUUAAUUAAACUAAUAACUUAUCCUAAAAUCAUAGAGAAUAUGACAAUUAAACAAAUUUACUUAUCAAAUAAUAUAUAUAGCAAACAAAAGAAGAUAGAGCAAGAACCCUAAAUAAUCAAACUAAGAAACUCUCUUUCUUUCCAAAGUUUUCUCUCAUCGGAAUGACAACGGAGACAGAGAGUUCGCACUUGACACAGUCAUCAUCAUCUUUACCUCCGCAACCUCAAAAUCCAGUCGAUCAUCUGAGAUGCAAUGAUUCAUCAACACAAGGUCUUCAACACGAUGGAAUGAAUAAUCAAGGAUUGCAGAUUCUGCCUUCUGAUGACUUUUACAGUUGCAUUGUUUUCAACAUAACUCAACUGAAGAAUAUACUACUUAGCUGCUUUAACCCACACGAGCCCGACAAUUUAGCAAGAGAAGCCAACGAAGAGCUCAGAAAAGCACAAGCUACUGCAGAGUCUAGCCAUGUUUACCAAUCUAUUCCUUGUGGUGAACACAUUCAAAAAGACGUUGCCUCCGAGCUGGUGUUUGGUACUCAAAGUUUAUCUUCCGCUUUUCCACCUCGACAGACUGAUGGAGGAUUCGAGGCAUUUACUAAGAACUUCAAGCAGUGCGAGAUAUGGAAUGGUCCUCAAGGAAACAACAAUCAAGAAGAUCAAAUUGUUAAUACUAUUGAAGGAUCUGCUUACAUGAUCCCCCGCAAGCCCUUUGAUCCUAUCGGAAGACCUAUCAAUCCGUUUGGCCCUAUCGAGCGACCCAUCCCACGUUUGCCCUCUAGUUCUGAACUAGCAUAUUUGGGAUUCGCGUAAAAUACAAGUUUCAAGAACAUAUCACUGAGAAGUUCAUGUGUUUUCUUUCUCUCAUGACCUUAUCUUUUGUUUCUAGGGUUUUCUACAGAAUGUUGUUUCUAUUUUUGCCAUCUAUAGAAAAUUAAAUACCAAAAAUUAUUCAAGAAUAUUUACAAGCUUUUAAAAAUUUCUACUUCCACGUUUUUUUUUUCUAUUCCCUUUUGGAAUGGUUGCGCACAAAAAAAAAAUCAAGCCCUUCAAUUUAAAUUAUACUUUUAUGGUUUGUAAUAAGUGAUCUACUUGCGCUGUAGAAGGCUGGGCGUGAUUAGUAGGCUGAACAAUCUACUGUUAGAGAUUAACUUAGAGAACAAAGUUGCAGUUACUAAAAUAAUGUGCGUGAGAAUAAAAUCAAAAAUUUAAAUAAAUGCCUACAAUAUUAAUUAAUUUGUAGGAACAACAUCCAUGUAAUGGCUUAACAUUUAUCAUAUUGUUUAAAUUUUUGUAUAUUUUGGAUUUUCAAUUUAGAUAAUAGAUUAUUUACAUUUUAUUUAGAUAAUAGAGUAUUUACAUUUAUCAUCUUUUAUUAUUUUAUAGUUUUCCAACGAUUGAUGUGAGUAUUCAUAUCGUAUAAACCAACAACAAUGUUGUCAUCUUAGGCUAUACAGUUAAGGAAAAGAGUGUGGUUAGACGAGAAUCCCGACAAACGAAUAUAUGGACAAACAUAAUCAUAUAAAAUCCUUUCGAUGAUGCUUAUCCAAGGCCCAACGUCGGGUUGACUGCUUUUUUUUUUUCCUGAACCAACAAGAACAAGGUUUGGUCUAUUUUUACUAUAAAAAUAAAUACCAGCUUAGAACGAAAACUUUAGCAAUAUUGACAAUAUAGCAAACAAGAGAAGUAGAGGAUAUUGAGCAAAAACCCUAAAUAAUCAAACUAAGAAACUCUCUUAAUUUCUUUCCAAAGUUUUCUCUCGUCCGAAUGACAACGGAGACUGAGAGUUCGCACUUGACACAGUCGUCGUCGUCGUCGUCAUCAUCAUCAUCAUCAUCAUCAUCAUCAUCAUCUUUACCUCCUCCGAAACCUCAAAAUCCAGUCGAUCAUCUGAAAUCCAACGAUUCAUCAACACAAGGUCUUCAAAACGAGGGAAUGAAUGAUAAAGGAUUUCAGAUUUCGCUUUCUGAUGACUUUUACAGUUGCGUUGUUUUCAACAUAAGGUAUGUCUGUUUGUUAGUACGUAUCAAUUUCAUCAUAAUUGAUGCUUCCCGCUCUGUUUUUUUUAUGUACAAUUGUUUUUUGCAGAAAAUACUACUCAGCUGCUUUAACCUAUACGAACCCGAUAAUAUUAGCAAGAGAAGCCAACGAAGAGCUGAGCAAAGCACAAGCUACUACAGAGUCUAACCAUGUUUACCAAUCUAUCCCUUGUGGUGAACAAAUUCAAAGUUUAUCUUCCACUUUUCCGCCUCAGCAGACUGAUGGAGGAUUCGAGGCAUUUACUAAGAACUUCAAGCAGUGCGAGAUAUGGAAUGGUCCUCAAGGAAACAACAAUCAAGAAGAUCAAAUUGUUAAUACUAUUUAAGGAUCUGCUUACAUGAACCCCCGCAAGCCCUUUGAUCCUAUCGGAAGACCUUUCAAUCCGUUUGGCCCUAUCGAGCGACCCAUCCCACGUUUGCCCUCUAGUUCUGAACUAGCAGAUUUGGGAUUUGCGUAAAAUACAAGUUUCAAGAACAUAUCACUGACAAGUUCAUGUGUUUUCUUUCUCUCAUGACCUUAUCUUUUGUUUCUAGGGUUUUCUACAGAAUGCUGUUUCUAUUUUUGCCAUCUAUAGAAAAUACUAAAAAUUAUUCAAGAAUAUUUACAAGCUUUUAAAAUUUUCUACUUCCACGUUUUUUUUUCUAUUCCCUUUUGGAAAGAUUGCACACACAAAAAAUAUCUAGCCCUUCAAUUUAAUUAUACUUUUAUGGUUUGUAAUAAGUGAUCUACUUGCGUUGUAGAAGGUCUUGGCGUGAUUAGAUGGCUGAACAAUCUACUGUAAGAGAUUAACUUAUAGAGAAGAACGUCGCAAUCACCAAAAUAAUGUGUGUGAGAUGAAAGCAAAAGAAAGUUUUAUAUUUGAUUGCUAAAUUUUGUAGGAUAUCUCAUGCGAUUUACUCUGUUUUAUUACUUUUGGGAUAAGAAAUCAAAAUAAAGUUUUCGAAGUUUCCAUGAUAAAAUGACAAAGUUAAAUGCUAAAAAAUAAAAUAAAAAUCAGAUGUUGUCUGUUCAUGAAAUCUAUCUUGGACAAUGUGUUAUAAAUUUACUGUUUUUAAUUUAGAUAAGAAAAA